AGCGAACGCUGGCGGCAGGCCUAACACAUGCAAGUCGAACGAACCUUUCGGGGUUAGUGGCGGACGGGUGAGUAACACGUGGGAACGUGCCUUUAGGUUCGGAAUAACUCAGGGAAACUUGUGCUAAUACCGAAGGUGCCCUUCGGGGGAAAGAUUUAUCGCUGUUAGAGCGGCCCGCGUAUGAUUAGCUAGUUGGUUGAGGUAAUGGCUCAUCAAGGCGACGUUCAGUAGCUGGUCUGUGAGGAGGAUCAGCCACAUUGGAACUGAGACACGGCCCAAAAUCCUACGGGAGGCAGCAGUGGGGAAUCUAGCGCAAUGGGCGAAAGCCUGACGCAGCCAUGCCGCGUGAAUGAUGAUGGUCUUAGGAUUGUAAAAUUCUUUCACCGGGGACGAUAAUGACGGUACCCGGAGAAGAAGCCCCGGCUAACUACGUG
rnacentral:rRNA from 1 species